CUCUGUUAUCUACUAACAACCUGUUUGUAUUUCUGCAGGAAGAUCAUACCCGUGACGAAUAAACAACAUAUGUUUCAUUUCUGAGAAACAACUUCAGCGACAACACCCUUCAGACCUGUUUGCUGUGACUGUGCUGAACAUUUUCUCUAACGAGUCGCAGACAUGCUGAAUCGAUCCCAGCAUGGAUGAGGCCUCUGGACCAAUCCACCGCUCCGUCACAGGGUCACAGAGUCUCAUCGACCUAAUCCUCAAUCUGCACUUUUAAUUACUAAGGCGGCCCGGUAGGAGAGCAACACGACAGCGAGGAUGUGGAGCCGCAGGUUUUUGGAACGCUCUCUUUACACUACGCUGGAAACCCGGAGCUGCGCUCUCUCCGAGGCUGCUUCCCCAGCUGACCUCGGUCGUCACACCUGUUUCUAAUAGCUGCCCUGCCACAGGCUAUUAGCAUCUGUCCACCCCCAGAAAGGACCUUUCCUCUGCAGCUCCAAACCCAACCACACAACGGCCGUCCACUCGCACUGAUUAAUCACAUCAAGAUGACGCGCUGCGGCUCGUGGCGCUGCGUAGGUGCACGUCCCCGCCUGCAAGUCUGUGCGUGCGCACGCACAGUGCCACAUGUUAGUGGGUUCCUGCACGUGUGUCAUCCUAAUUCUUUAUUCUGUCCAUGUCGAGAUAUUUGACCGAGAUAUUUCAUUAGACAUUUGCUGCUCUCGGAUAUUAGGUUAGAUAUUCAUUUGAUACCUGCCGCCCCACAGAGCUGCUGCGGCCAGACUCGCUGGAGCGUUUCCAAGCUCUUUGAAGGGCCCCCGCUUGUCUCAGGGUCGCCGCGAGGUCAGUGGAUGAGCCUGAUUGGUCAACCCCCUGUGUACCGUAAAUUGGAAACGGUGGCCACUGUAAUCAUGCCGGAGCAGGGAAACGCUGUUGCUCGCAAAGUCAGACAGUGAGUUGUUUGAAGUUGAUUUUUACCUUUAAUGUAACAAUAAUGUGAAGUGAAAAGUGUAUUUUCUAGGAGGGCAGAAGUCUGAGCGGGGCCAUCGGACACUUCUGCAGCUACACUUCAGCCUGAUGGGAGCUGACUCUACAGUACGCCGGGCUGCAGAGUCCGGUGUCAGCCUAUAACGUGGAAUCAGAUCUGCACAAUUAACCCCAACACUUGAGACCGCCUGAUUGGAUGCAGAAAAUGAAAGCUCUCUCUUGAAAAAAAACUACAGCCACAUACGUACAGCUGCCGUUUUUACUUUUCUACAGUUUGAGCAAAGAAUCUGAGGUGACAGGGCAUGUGUCGCUGCACUGCUAGAUAAUCAGUAACUGUACAGGCGGACUCGGUUCAGAUGAACUGUAAAUUUGGGAACGCUCCCACAGAGACGGCAGUAAAAUAUAUUCAGGUUAUGAUCAGGUCACUUCUUUUAACUGAUUUUUAAUUGAGAAAACGAGAAAAAAAAAUCACUAUACCACCAUUUAAAAAUCACUCCAGUAAGUUAAGAGUAUUCUUAUAAAAUGAAAAGGUGAAGU